GACGGAGGAUGCAAGUGUUAUCCGGAAUCACUGGGCGUAAAGCGUCUGUAGGUGGUUUAAUAAGUCAACUGUUAAAUCUUGAGGCUCAACCUCAAAAUCGCAGUCGAAACUAUUAGGCUAGAGUAUAGUAGGGGUAAAGGGAAUUUCCAGUGGAGCGGUGAAAUGCGUAGAGAUUGGAAAGAACACCGAUGGCGAAGGCACUUUACUGGGCUAUUACUAACACUCAGAGACGAAAGCAGGG
rnacentral:rRNA from 1 species